rnacentral:rRNA from 2 species
CAGGUCUUGACAUCCUCUGACAAUCCUAGAGAUAGGACGUUCCCCUUCGGGGGACAGAGUGACAGGUGGUGCAUGGUUGUCGUCAGCUCGUGUCGUGAGAUGUUGGGUUAAGUCCCGCAACGAGCGCAACCCUUGAUCUUAGUUGCCAGCAUUCAGUUGGGCACUCUAAGGUGACUGCCGGUGACAAACCGGAGGAAGGUGGGGAUGACGUCAAAUCAUCAUGCCCCUUAUGACCUGGGCUACACACGUGCUACAAUGGAUGGUACAAAGGGCUGCAAGACCGCGAGGUUUAGCCAAUCCCAUAAAACCAUUCUCAGUUCGGAUUGCAGGCUGCAACUCGCCUGCAUGAAGCCGGAAUCGCUAGUAAUCGCGGAUCAGCAUGCCGCGGUGAAUA